rfam:Heliobacterium modesticaldum Ice1, complete genome.
GAUCCAUUAGCUCAGUUGGUAGAGCACCUGACUUUUAAUCAGGGUGUCGCUGGUUCGAGUCCAGCAUGGAUCA